ACUAGGAAGAAAGACCAGCCUACAAGAUGAUGCCCGAAUCGCUUACUAUCUCGAAGGAUUGGCUGUGAUCUGCUUCUGUCAAGCGCUACACAAGGUACUGGGUGUGGCUUAUAACCUGAGGCAGCUAUGUGUAAAGAGAAACAGUGGCAGUGGUAAAAAGGUGUGACUGGAUCCAAUAAUCAGAGGUGGGGCCACGUAUGGGACAGAGGAACAGUGGCAGUAGCAGCGAGAUAUAAAAAGUGUCUGAUGUCUGUGGCUACUGCUGAUACUUUGCUGUCACACUAUGCACUGCCACUGGGUCCCUUUUGGAGUACCUUGGAGUCGCCUCUGUCAAGAGUAGAAUACAUGACAAUGCCAUGUACAGGAAGGUUGACGUUGGUGGUAGGACUUUCACAACAGUGCUCAGCUCAUGCAGUGUCGAUGUCCUAUCCAGAUCGAUAAUUUAUUGUUGUAAUUAAUUGUUGUAAUUAUUGUGUACUGUAC